GCUCUCGUGUGGACGUCAUUAUCUUCCCACACAACAGGGCUUUACAUCCCGAAGGAUUUCUUCACCCACGCGGCGUCGCUGGGUCAGGGUUCCCCCCAUUGCCCAAUAUUCCCCACUGCUGCCUCCCGUAGGAUUCCCCAGUGCUGCCUCCGGUAGGA
rnacentral:rRNA from 1 species